rnacentral:rRNA from 1 species
CCCUUAGAUGUUCUGGGCCGCACGCGCGCUACACUGACGAAUGCAACGAGCUUAUAACCUUGGCCGAAAGGUCUGGGUAAUCUCCAAAUUUCGUCGUGAUGGGGAUAGAUUAUUGCAAUUAUUAAUCUUCAACGAGGAAUGCCUAGUAAGCGCAAGUCAUCAGCUUGCGUUGAUUACGUCCCUGCCCUUUGUACACACCGCCCGUCGCUCCUACCGAUUGAGCAAUCCGGUGAAUACUUCGGACCGUUUGCAUAGGUGGUUCGCCACCUAUACGAAUGGAAAGUCGAGUGAACCUUAUUGCUUAGAGGAAGGAGAAGUCGUAACA